GAGCGCCCCGCAAGGGGAGCGGCAGACGGGAGAGUAACACGUGGGAACGUGCCCUUUGGUUCGGAACAACACAGGGAAACUUGUGCUAAUACCGGAUAAGUCCGUAAGGAGAAAGAUUUAUCGCCAAAGGAUCGGCCCGCGUCUGAUUAGCUUGUUGGUGAGGCAACGGCUCACCAAGGCGACGAUCAGUAGCUGGUCUGAGAGGAUGAUCAGCCUCACUGGGACUGAGACACGGCCCAGACUCCUACGGGAGGCAGCAGUGGGGAAUAUUGGACAAUGGGCGCAAGCCUGAUCCAGCCAUGCCGCGUGGAUGAUGAAGGCCUUAGGGUUGUAAAGUCCUUUCGGCGGGGAAGAUAAUGACGGUACCCGCAGAAGAAGCCCCGGCUAACUUCGUGCCAGCAGCCGCGGUAAUACGAAGGGGGCUAGCGUUGCUCGGAAUCACUGGGCGUAAAGCGCACGUAGGCGGCUUUUUAAGUCAGAGGUGAAAUCCUGGAGCUCAACUCCAGAACUGCCUUUGAUACUGGAGAGCUUGAGUCCGGGAGAGGUGAGUGGAACUGCGAGUGUAGAGGUGAAAUUCGUAGAUAUUCGCAAGAACACCAGUGGCGAAGGCGGCUCACUGGCCCGGUACUGACGCUGAGGUGCGAAAGCGUGGGGA
rnacentral:rRNA from 1 species